rnacentral:pre_miRNA from 1 species
UCUUACGGAUGAGCAGAGAAAGUGGUCUCUUGAGAUGGAAUCUACUCCUGGUGAAAAUGUUAUGAA